CCCCCCCCCUCUUCUCAUACGGCGGCACAGGGCUUCGCCUGCUAGGCUUGUCAAGCUGUACAAAACCAUGUCUUCUAAUCAGAUGAGAUGAAGAUGAUAUGUGGUGUGGAAUUCGGCGGGCUGCUGAAGAUCUCUUGUGAAACAAUGCAGCGGAUCUCGCUAACUGGCUUUUCUUUGACUGUUUUGAUGCUGAGUCCUCAGAGCUUGUGCUUCAUGGAAGGGGUAGGAUCUCUGUUACAGCAGAAGCUGUCGCUGACAUACUGGGCUUACCAAACAAGGGCGGCGAAGUGAAAUACGAGCUUGAUUUGGGAGCUGUUAACUUUAUACUCUGUACAAAAUUGUCCAUGGCACAUCACCCAAAAUUGAAGCAAUUAUGGAAAGGGUGUGAAGGAAAAUAACAUUGAAAUGAGGAUUUCCUGAGAUCAUGGCUGAUGAUUGUUGUAUCCACAUUCUUGUGGCCUUCAUGCUCCAACUAGUUUGUGCAUCAGUCCAAGGUGUUACGAGGAAUAGUUGAUCUUUAAAUGGUCAAGGAGUUGAAAUCUUUCAAUGGUCAAGGAGUUGAAUUGGUGCAAGUUUGUUGUGGAGCAGCUCCAGGAUGCCGCUAAAAAGAUGGACAAGAAAAACUCAGUGCGGGGGUUGCCUUUUCCUACUUGAGAUCCUUUACGCAGAUUCACCAGCGGUUGAUAAUGUAGAAAUCAGUGUCACUAAGGCUCAAGUCGCUGCAUGGACGAGGAAGCUAUUGGACGAGGUGAUUAAGCUGGACAGAAACCAUGAUGGCUCAUUCGGCAAACUUAAGAUCUACUGGCAACAUACUAACAGCAUUAGUGAUGGUGUGGACGACAGGGAAGCAACCAAGGGGGAUAUCCAGCACUUCUGUCCAGAAAUUUACACACACAUGUUACUUUUUCAAAUCUCUAUGUAUAGCAAUUUGUUGGGGUAAAACAAAUAAGGUCUGUGUGGUUUUUGCCUCUGGA